UACAGAGGUCUCAAGCGUUGUUCGGAUUCAUUGGGCGUAAAGGGUGCGUAGGCGGCGCGGUAAGUCGGGUGUGAAAUCUUGGAGCUUAACUCCGAAACUGCAUUCGAUACUGCCGUGCUUGAGAACUGGAGAGGAGACUGGAAUUUACGGUGUAGCGGUGAAAUGCGUAGAUAUCGUAAGGAAGACCAGUGGCGAAGGCGGGUCUCUGGACAGUUCCUGACGCUGAGGCACGAAGGCCAGGGGAGCAAACGGG
rnacentral:rRNA from 1 species